rnacentral:rRNA from 1 species
UAGUGGCGGACGGGUGAGUAACAACGUGAGUAACCUGCCUUCAGAGGGGAAGUAAUGUUUGGUAAACGGACACUAAUACCGCAUAGUAUAUUUUAAUCGCAUGAUUGAAAUAUCAAAGGAGCAAUCCGCUGAAAGAUGGACUCGCGUCUGAUUAGCCAGUUGGCGGGGUAACGGCCCACCAAAGCGACGAUCAGUAGCCGGACUGAGAGGUUGAACGGCCACAUUGGGACUGAGACACGGCCCAGACUCCUACGGGAGGCAGCAGUGGGGGAUAUUGCACAAUGGGCGCAAGCCUGAUGCAAGCAACGCCGCGUGCAGGAAGACGGUCUUCGGAUUGUAAACUGUUGUCCUCUGUGACGAUAAUGACGGUAGCAGAGGAGGAAGCCACGGCUAACUACGUGCCAGCCGCCGC